AACGUAGGACGCAAGCGUUAUCCGGAGUUACUGGGCGUAAAGCGCACGUAGGCGGUCCGUUAAGUCGGAUGUGAAAGCCCCCGGCUCAACCGGGGAAGUGCAUCCGAAACUGGCGGGCUAGAGUACGAAAGAGGGUCGCGGAAUUCCCGGUGUAGAGGUGAAAUUCGUAGAUAUCGGGAGGAACACCGGUGGCGAAGGCGGCGACCUGGGUCGAUACUGACGCUGAGGUGCGAAAGCGUGGGGAGCAAACAGG
rnacentral:rRNA from 1 species